GACGAACGCUGGCGGCGUGCUUAACACAUGCAAGUCGAACGGAAAGGCCCUGCGUUUGUGGGGUGCUCGAGUGGCGAACGGGGGAGUAACACGUGAGUAACCUGCCCUUGACUUUGGGAUAACUUCAGGAAACUGGGGCUAAUACCGGAUAGGAGCUCCUGAUGCAUGGGGGGGGUUGGAAAGUGUCGGCGGUUGGGGAUGGACUCGCGGCUUAUCAGCUUGUUGGGGAGGUAGUGGCUUACCAAGGCUGUGACGGGUAGCCGGCCUGAGAGGGUGACCGGCCACCUUGGGCCUGAGAUACGGCCCAGACUCCUACGGGAGGCAGCAGUGGGGAAUAUUGCACAAUGGGCGGAAGCCUGAUGCAGCAACGCCGCGUGCGGGAUGACGGCCUUCGGGUUGUAAACCGCUUUCGCCUGUGACGAAGCGUGAGUGACGGUAAUGGGUAAAGAAGCACCGGCUAACUACGUG
rnacentral:rRNA from 1 species